AUAUCAUUCAAGUUUCUGACCUAUCAGCUUUAGACGGUAGGGUAUUGGCCUACCGUGGCUAUGACGGGUAACGGGGAAUUAGGGUUCGAUUCCGGAGAGGGAGCCUGAGAAACGGCUACCACAUCUAAGGAAGGCAGCAGGCGCGCAAAUUACCCAAUCCUAAUACAGGGAGGUAGUGACAAGAAAUAACAAUACAGAGCCUUACGGUUUUGUAAUUGGAAUGAGUUAAGUAUAAACCCCUUAACAAGUAUCAAUUGGAGGGCAAGUCUGGUGCCAGCAGCCGCGGUAAUUCCAGCUCCAAUAGCGUAUAUUAAAGUUGUUGCAGUUAAAAAGCUCGUAGUUAAUUUUCUGUUAAUUUUUAUAUACAAUGCUACGGUAUUUAUAUAAUAUUAACAUAAUUCAUAUUACUUUUUUAGUAUAUGAAACUUUACUUUGAGAAAAUUAGAGUGCUUAAAGCAGGCUAUUGCCUUGAAUACUCCAGCAUGGAAUAAUAUUAAGGAUUUUUAUUCUUCUUAUUGGUUCUAGAAUAAAAAUAAUGAUUAAUAGGGACAGUUGGGGGCAUUUGUAUUUAACAGUCAGAGGUGAAAUUCUUAGAUUUGUUAAAGACAAACUACUGCGAAAGCAUUUGCCAAGGAUGUUUUCAUUAAUCAAGAACGAAAGUUAGGGGAUCGAAGACGAUCAGAUACCGUCGUAGUCUUAA
rnacentral:rRNA from 1 species